rnacentral:rRNA from 1 species
CAGUAGCCGCGGGAAUACAGAGGGUGCAAGCGUUAAUCGGAAUUACUGGGCGUAAAGCGCGCGUAGGUGGUUUGUUAAGUUGGAUGUGAAAGCCCCGGGCUCAACCUGGGAACUGCAUCCAAAACUGGCAAGCUAGAGUACGGUAGAGGGUGGUGGAAUUUCCUGUGUAGCGGUGAAAUGCGUAGAUAUAGGAAGGAACACCAGUGGCGAAGGCGACCACCUGGACUGAUACUGACACUGAGGUGCGAAAGCGUGGGGAGCAAACAGGAUUAGAGAUCCCGGUAGUCCCUGUCUCUUAUAC